UCGGGAAUCUUGGGCAAUGGGCGAAAGCCUGACCCAGCAACGCCGCGUGAGGGAUGAAGGCCCUCGGGUCGUAAACCUCUGUCGAGAGGGAAGAAAGUUUCGCAGGUCAAUACCCUGCGUUGUUGACGGUACCUCCAAAGGAAGCACCGGCUAACUCCGUGCCAGCAGCCGCGGUAAUACGGAGGGUGCAAGCGUUGUUCGGAAUCAUUGGGCGUAAAGCGGGUGUAGGCGGCUAGGCAAGUCGGGUGUGAAAUCCCAGGGCCCAACCCUGGAACUGCACUCGAAACUGCCUAGCUAGAGUCCCGGAGAGGAUGGCAGAAUUCCCGGUGUAGAGGUGAAAUUCGUAGAUAUCGGGAGGAAUACCAGUGGCGAAGGCGGCCAUCUGGACGGUGACUGACGCUCAGACCCGAAAGCGUGGGGAGCAAACAGGAUUAGAUACCCCCGUAGUCC
rnacentral:rRNA from 1 species